rnacentral:rRNA from 1 species
GACAGAGGGUGCAAACGUUGUUCGGAAUUACUGGGCGUAAAGCGCGUGUAGGCGGCCCGGAAAGUCGGAUGUGAAAGCCCUGGGCUUAACCUAGGAAGUGCAUUCGAAACUGCUGGGCUUGAGUUCUGGAGAGGAAGGCGGAAUUCUCGGUGUAGAGGUGAAAUUCGUAGAUAUCGAGAGGAACACCGGUGGCGAAGGCGGCCUUCUGGACAGUGACUGACGCUGAGGCGCGAAGGCGUGGGGAGCGAACGGGG